UUCUCCUAUCUAGACAUGGUUAGAAUAAAUAAUAUAUAUAUAUAUGUGUAUACACAAACCUGUGAGAUGGCAGGGUUCUAUAAUGAUGGAUCUUGAAUGUUCAAGCACCCUGGGUUCUUCAAUCUUGUGGAAUCUUGUCGCAAGGUCGAAGCAGCAUCUGAUGUCUUGUCUAUUCCACACUCAACAUAACAAAUGGGUAAUCCUACGAAAGCUAGUGGUACAUUAAAUUAGCAGACAUCAAGAUCAAUAUCAGAAUCUUUACGCCAAUUGCUUCCCCGACAACGGUGCUAAAAAUGCUUGUAGAUAUUUCUUAUGCAGAGUUAAAAUAUGAAGGAUUCUGUAAGCACACAGAAAACCAUUGUAGCAUUUUACCAGGAGUAUUCCAGGUAUCGUUAUUUAUAUUUUACCACUAGGAAACAAUAGAUAAAGAUAUUGAUACUUCACCAUCAUGUAUCUACUAACUAAUACACCAACUAGACUAAAGUAGGGGUAAAUAAUAGAUGAUAGGAAUUAUGCAUAUGUGACACACACCGGAGAAUUCUAUGAUAAAAGAGUAGAUAACUAAAGUGAGAGAACAAUGGGAGAGUUUAAGGUUCCUAAAUACUCUCUAUUACUAAGGUUCUAUUAUAACCAAUCCAUGGUAGGUAAAGCAAUCACACAAUAACGCUUCGAGACAUCAGAACACUAGUCACGGAAAGAUGAGAAGGGGACUAGGAAGCUCCGAAUACGGUCCUACAACACCAAUCCAAACGUGGUGGAAUACGUCGGUCGUCAGGGCUGUCACCACCUAGGGCUACCACAACUAUCCAUAGAACUGGGUGCAAUCUCAGGUAACCUAUAGUCUGGACACCAUGUCUCUACUUCAAAUUACUACUCUAAUCAUAAUUAAUAACUAGAGCACCCGAUACGGGUGGAGAUCCUAUGCUAAAGUAUAACGACUAUACUAACCAAUCAAAUGUAAUGCAUAAAAGUAAAAAGAGAAGAUAAAAUAUAUUAAAGCGUAAUUGUAACAAGAAAAGAUACAAAGAUAUACCAAACUCUGAUGACUUCUCCGAAGACUCCUCCAGAACCUGGGCAUAGCGCCGCUCUCCCUAACUCCCAACUAGAACUAAUCUACUACGUUGGAAAGUUUAGCCUUAAUUCUCUAGAGGUGAGAGGUCAUUCAUUUGAGAGACGCCUCUACAUCUCCAUAAAGUGGUGCCCUCAGGGAGGGGGUCUGCCUCUUUAUUUAUAGCCUAGAAAAGCCUCCCACCUCUUCUAGACAGGCAAUAUGGGACUAAUUCUUCCACCGUUUGCUCUGUUGGGCUAUUAUACAUCAACUUGUGCCAUCCAAUCAUCCCUCAUGUGAGCCCACUCAAGGGAGCAGCUUGGAGCGCCUCUCUUGGGCCUCUAUCAUGCCAUAUGAGCCUCUUCUCACGCCAUGGGCCUUGCUUGGGCGUGGGGCCCAUUAGUGGUAAUUCUCCUUUAUUUAUAAAAUUAAUAUCUUUUCACUCCGGACUCCAAAUAUAGCAAAUGAUAUGUUCGUUUCGAUCGUGUCAACAAGCCUGUCACAAUGGUGUAGUCCAAAUCAUUAUUUGACAUACUUUUAUUUGAUGGAAAAUUGCAUAUUCCUAUAAAACAAGUGAGAACACCAAAACUUGUGGAACUCGUUAGAAUCAAACCCUACAACUAUGCUUUAUGGUUGAUAUUAUGUUAUAUUGAGCAAUAGUUGAUGGUAUAAAAUAGGCAUUAAGGACCAUCAACAUAUUCCUCUAUUCAUCACCCACACACAUUCCACAUCCACUUAGAAAAUAUUCUACUUCUACACUGGGAGAAGACACCCAAAAAAUAUAAAUAUUUAAUAUCUUAUUCUAUUUAUCCAAUAAAGCUCCAGUUAUCCCAGUUGAUACUCCCUACUGUUAUCAUUGCAUUAAAAGGGAUGGUUAAUCUCUAAAAAAAGAGAGAGAAAAAAGAAAAAAAAGAAAGAAAGAAAGGGGACAAAAGUCCCAAUGCAAAAGAAAAGAAAGAUAGCCAAAUCCUUGUUCUCAGAUUAGGGAGGUAUGUUAUCCCCAAGGAGCAAAUGUAGAAUUAGAUAUUCACCAUCACUUAUCACCCCUAAUAAGCCCCUUUUAUUCUUAUCACUUCAUUUCACUUCACUCAUGUGCACAUAUGACUUGAUUGUAUAAUUAAUUUCGCUGGAUUCAUGGUUUAACUAUGCAAUACAUGCAAGUAGGUCUGAAUUGUCUUUCCCACCUAUGAGCUCCACAUAAGCCAAUUAGAAGCAGGGUGAGAAAGAGAAGGCAACUAUGUCUUAGUGAUACAAAAAUACCACACAUGAGAGACUGGAAAGUGUCAUACAAGGAAACUCUAAGUUUUAUUUGAAAAUCUUGCAAAACUCUAGAAUAAUAGUUGAACAAAGUGCAGGUAGCAUAGUGCUUGACUUAUCUGUUUUGUGUUUCAACUGCCCAAGACCAAAGUGAUAGCUAUAAGCCACAUGGUGAAAGGUAAAAUAGGUGAGCCUUGAGUCAGUAUAGUUUACUCUAAUCUGGAGGGGAGUCCUUGUUUAAAUACUUGUGUACUUGUGAGCUGUGAAAGCAUUGUAGCAACUUCUGAUCCAAGUUUACUAGUUAGGCUUGGCUAAGGGACUACCAAAGGGUAAGCUUGGGUGAACUUGUUGAUGGUCAUUAAUGCCUAUUUUAUACCAUCAACUAUUGCUCAAUAUAACAUGAUAUUGUUGACACCAUUUUUGGGCACGUAUCUAGAAUCGUCAGGGUGUAGGUCAACAAGAUGCGGUGGCAGUACUUGAUCUGCGAGAGAAGCUGCCGAUGAAAAUGGUUACCGGUGAAGGGAUAGCAGAAUAUGACUAAGUUCAUAGAUGGCUGUGUGUCUGUGCCGAUGGUUGGUAUUAACUUGUGCCGAUGGCUACGAUAAGAGGUCUGCCGAUGAUGCGGAAGGAAAGCCUAAAGGUUGCCGAUUGAUCGGGGGAGGUGUCCUAGUUUGUCGCGACAGGAUAGUUUUAUGUUUUCCUUAGUUAUUUGAGUCGUUUUGUACACGGAUUCUGUUUAAAUUUGGAAUUCGAAUUCUAGUUGUGUCUGGUUGUAGCUCUUUGAGCAGGGUAUAAAUGUAGACCCUAAGGCCUUGUAAUGAAUCUAUCAAUCAAUCAAACACCAGUUUUUACUCAUAUUCCAGCAUCUACUUUUUUGACGACUUCAUCAUACUUUUUCCUUUUUAUUACGAGUUCUUAGGAAUUCGUCGACUUAAGCUCGGCGUGUUCUCAAGUUCUGCGUGAAUACCUCUUGGCCGUGGCAUCCGGGCGCAUCGCUGUUGUCAGGACCAAAGUAUUCGAGUUAUCACCUUUGCCGAUAGUAAGGUCAAAUCGGCUGGCACGCCUUAACGUUUAAAUCGGGUAUUAGCCCUUUGUGUUUGCAGAUCUAGCUUUUGCAUCAACACAUCUUUUGGCACGCCCAGUAGGACCAGAUUCAAGAUCAAGAUCAAUAUGUCGACUUCUGAGUUUGAUCAGGAGAACGUUAUCCCC
rnacentral:lncRNA from 1 species